UAAUACGGAGUGUGCAAGCGUUACUCGGAAUCACUGGGCAUAAAGCGCGCGUAGGCGGGUUUUCAAGUCGGUUGUGAAAUCCCUCAGCUCAACUGAGGAACUGCAUCCGAUACUGUCUGUCUUGAGGACGAGAGGGGAGAGUGGAACUUCUGGUGGAGCGGUGAAAUGCGUAGAUAUCAGAAGGAACGCCGGUGGCGAAAGCGACUCUCUGGCUCGUAUCUGACGCUGAGGCGCGAAAGCUUGGGUAGCAAACGGGAUUAGAUACCCCGGUAGUCCAAGCCGUAAACGAUGAACACUAGGGAGAGGAGACCCCGAUGUCUUCCCUCCUGGCGCAAAUGUAUUAAGUGUUCCGCCUGGGGAGUACAGUCGCAAGGCCG
rnacentral:rRNA from 1 species